rnacentral:rRNA from 1 species
ACACAGGUAGUCAAGAUGAGAUUUCUAAGGUGAGCGAGCGAACUCUCGUUAAGGAACUCGGCAAAAUGACCCCGUAACUUCGGGAGAAGGGGUGCUAUUUAGGGUUAACGCCCAGAAGAGCCGCAGUGAAUAGGCCCAAGCGACUGUUUAUCAAAAACACAGGUCUCUGCUAUACCGUAAGGUGAUGUAUAGGGGCUGACGCCUGCCCGGUGCUGGAAGGUUAAGAGGAGUGGUUAGCUUCU